UGAACGCUGGCGGCAUGCCUAACACAUGCAAGUCGAUCGGUAAGGCUCUUCGGAGUACACGAGAGGCGGACGGCUGAGUAACGCGUAGGAACACACCCUGCAGUGAGGGAUAAGACACCGAAAGGUGUUCUAAUACCGCAUACGGUCUUCGGAUUAAAGCAUUUAUGCGCUGAAGGAGUGGCCUGCGUCAUAUUAGAUAGUUGGUGAGGUAAUGGCUCACCAAGUCGAUGAUGUGUAGCUGGUCUGAGAGGAUGAUCAGCCAGACUGGAACUGAGACACGGUCCAGACUCCUACGGGAGGCAGCAGUGAGGAAUAUUUCACAAUGAGCGAAAGCUUGAUGGAGCAAUGCCGCGUGCAGGAUGAAGGCCCUCGGGUUGUAAACUGCUUUUAUAAGAGAAGAUUAUGACGGUAACUUAUGAAUAAGGGACGGCUAACUACGUG
rnacentral:rRNA from 1 species